AGCGAAUUGUGUUGCCUCAGGUCAUCGUGACCUUAAGCUCACAAUGAUUGAUAACACAGAGCAAGCAGUCUGGAGGCCACGUACUCAUCUUGGCUUGACUGCCAGGAUAAGUCUGGAAAAACAAAAUCAUUAGGCCCACUCGCACGCAAUCCGGUCACUAGCCAAGAACUUCCAGGAAAUGUUAUCAGAGCGUCCAGUCGUGCACAUACAUCCACACAGUGCAAUGUUGAAACUAUAUAAACGCCCAGAUUUGAAUGAGGAGUUGAGGAAAAAGCUAGAUGUGUUCUGUUGAAAUGUGAAGCGCUGUGUUACGUGUACUGAGGACAGCAUGUGAAUUUGAUCUAUAAAAUAAACGCUUUUUCUCCCGUCCUGUGGCAAUCAGAUGAUCGACUGAAGGUGUCCUGAUUUUUGACCAUUGAAAACCACCACAUUUGAUGCAUUGGCCGAGCUGAGAAAAGAACCCGGGAACAACUUUAGAAUCAGGAGAAGGUAGAUCACUUAAGCUGCUUGGAAGCUGGACACACAUUUAAACUGUAUCAGACGAUUAUCUGUUUGCCACUGGAUGUUUGCUGCAGCAUAAAUUGGCAUCUUGAGAUAAAUAGUAGCUGUCGAGAACUGGCUCGGAUUUUUGUUUUGGAUGAUUAAUAGUAAUCUGCUGAAGCGAGAUUGCACCAUAACUUUAUAGAAAUUGGUGGAAACUGGCGGUCACGGAUUAUAAGUGAUGUAUCAUUAUGAAUGAUGCAACUAAUAUGUAUAUCUCAUUCUAGUGAGGAAAAUAAAUUUCCUAGUUUAAUAUGUCGCCGAGUCGCAGUUCGACUGAGCCUGAAAGGCUGUUGUUGUUGAGAAAUAGGCCUGAAGUCCAGAGGGACUAUAUCGAGAUCUCAGUUGUUGAAGUUGUUUAUCUCCGGAGAAAGAAGCAACAGAGAGCAGUGUGGCUCUGUGUUGAUGAUGUUAGACCAAAAGUUGAUAAAAGAGUUGGAAAGUGCAUGCAAAUUAGUUUAAAUUGGCUGCUUGGGUCUAUGAAGUUAAAGAAUUCUGUGCACAACCGAUUAAUUGCCAUGGCAUGUAAUGGUAUGAAUGUCUAAAGAGCUCUGUGUGACUCUGUAUUAACGUGUGACUCUGUGUGAUUCUGUAUGUGUGUUUGAAAUCUAAGUGUACACUAAAAACAUCUGUUUAAAUUCAAACCUCCUUCCAGAAUCUGUAAUCAGAUCUGCUUAAUCACUGUAAUUUAAUCAGACUGAAAACAGUGUAGAGUAAGAUCCAGUCCCUACAAAAUGUAGAGAUGUUUAAUAACCUCUCCUAAGUGUCCCAGAGGACAUAAGAGGUCAAAAUAAAAGGAGGAAAUAAAAGUCAUUAAAUAAGGGAAUCAAAACAUAAAAAGUGAAAAUAAUUGCAUAAAUAAGUCUAAAAACAUAAAAGACUAAACAAAAGAAAGAAAGUGAUCACUUUAUAUCUGUAAAAGACGUCUGCUCUCACUUCAAUUGUAACUGCGUCACAUUUUCUAAUAGCUGACCUGCAUGAAAAAUAGGAGUCCAGUUGUUUGUUCCAACAGAAAAGGCUUAAUUGUGCCCAAUCUUUAAACAUACUUGGUCGAAAAGUUGUUAAUUAUUACAGAACAAUUUGUUACGUAAACAGUGGAUAGAAGAGAAGUUUCAAAAUUUGUAAGACAACAUCUAAAAAGUUUCAAAACAAGUUUUUCUUAGUAAAAGCCCCCUCCCUUUUUCUUCUCUUCUCCUAUGAGCCUGUCUGUGUGUGCGCUGACACACACACACACACUGGAAGCUAAAAACGCCACGACGUUCUGUAUCUGUUAAAUAGGACUAUAUAUUACUAUAAACAAAACUAUGUUAGAAGCCGGCAUGUGUCUGUCUGUCUGUCUGUCUUUAUGUUCUUUGUCUGUCUGUCUGUCUGUUCUAUGUUGUUUGUUCAAUGUCAACAUGUCUGUCUGGGGUAUAAAAUAUUAGUUCUAUUAUGUUUCAGUAUAAACAGAUCAAUAGUAGAAUUAAACAGCAGAUAAUUAGAUUACAGUUAUGUUAAAACAUAGAUUAAUAUGGCAAUAAACAUAAAAUCCCAUGAAGAACUGGAUUCUCUCUAUGCAUCCACGUCCGGACAUAUGAUAAGAAAGGUAUGCAGGAAACCUGUUGCUGAAAAAGUCGAAUUUCUGCACGUUCUAUUUGGAUGCGUUUUGAGUAAUUCAGUAAUGAGUGGGACCAAAGUCAUCAGAAAAUACUACAAGACAAACAAUGACAAAACUUUCGAAAAAGAAAAUACAAAUAAUGUGCACAAGAAAUAGGAUCUGGUCUAGACAUUUUCUAUUAUAAAGUGUUUGGUUUUAGUUAUAUUUUGUUUAUGUUGUUUUGCAAAUGCUAUCGAUGUUGCUGUGAUUUCUGGAGGUGAACCUUGAGAGGAGCUGAAAUCAUUGAUUUAAAGUGUUGAACCUCUUUUUCAAAUGUUUAUAAAAAGUGAAAAACUAUGGUCGAUUUUAUAAGAAAUAUAUUGAUUAAUAUAUUUACAUCUUACUAUGUCUUGAAAUUAACAUGUUAAAGGUAGAAAAUCGAUUUGUACUAAAGUUCUGUAAACCCCCCCCCCCUCCCACCUCCCGCCCAACAGUAAGGUCCAAAAAUGGUUCUGAAUUCUGUCCCGAGGCAAACGGAAACUCAACACACACACAUUUUCAACACACACACAUUUUCAACACACACACAUUUUCUACACACAGAUAUUAUUUCCUGACUCACACACAGCUGCUUGUGUCACUGAGAGACAGAAGGAGAAGCACAGUUACCAGAGUUUAAGCAGGGGCGAUCAAAAUAGAAUUAGGGCCCGAGGGUUUCGAAGCAUUUUUAACUGAAAACAAUGUACUGAUUGUUACACUAGAAUGAUAUUGUUGACGGCAUGUAAAGAGACUGAUUUUUAAGCUUAUAUUUGAUUAUGAUAAACCCCACAUGAUUAGACAAAUCCUUCCUUUGCACAUAGAUGACAGAAUUAGAUUACUCCUGAGUUAUGUUGAUCUUACUGUAGCAAAGUGAAUAAGUGAAACACUAAUUAUUAAGAAUACUUAAAGGUGAAUUUUCAAAAAGAGCAAGUUACAUUUAUGCUAAGGAUUUCUUAAUGUAAUUAACUUUUGAUGAAACUUGAUAGAACAAAUACAACUCAACAAUUAUUAGGGGUAAGAGAUAAA